CCCGACUAUUGACUUUCAUAUUGUUUACAUUAGCCACUUGAGAAAGCCAGAACCCUUGAGUCGGCUUGUUUGGGCGUUAAUGGAUUCUGGAGUAGCCAUUACUACAUAUAAGUCUCUUUACAAAAUAUUGAAGUUUCUCUGAGGUUCACCUGCUUUCUGAACACUGGCGGUACACUCUCCUCCCUCCCCACACGAUCCUGCAGCACCGAGUUUGAUGAAUACUUAGGAAGGCAAACAAUCAUGAUCAGUAAUGGAACAGUCACUUAGGGUACACCUACUUCUUUGUGAGUUGAAUAAUCUAUUUCCACCCACCCCAGCCCCACACUGUCAACCACCAUCAACAAUCCGGGGAAUCAAGUUAAUCUUCAAUUAGGUGAAAGAAUUUCAGGAACGAGUGCAGCUCAAGUUACCAAGUAACUUACUGUUGUGAAACGAUUCAUACUGCAAGCCGCCUAAAUGCAGGGCUUUUGAUGAUAUUCCCCGCCAACAAGGGUGUUUUGAAGAGAGUGAAGGAAACAGACAGGACUUUGAAAGGAAAAACAGACAUCUAAUUGGCUGUCUCUUGCCGACCCUCCAGUGACCCUGCACUGAAUACCUCUAAUGGACGUGUGUGAUCUUGGAGCCUCUACCGCAAUAAACGAGUUUUAGACUUUCAACUUGUUUUUGCAGCAGAAUUCUUUAUUCUCCUUAAAAUUGAUUUUUUAAAAAACGAGUGAGCAAGGCAUUAGCAUAGGUAUUUUACACAAAAGGGUGAAAUGGUUUUCUAAUUUU
rnacentral:lncRNA from 1 species